AACAAUAAUGCAUACGGUGGAUGCCUUGGUCGAAAGUACCGAUGAAGGACGUAUUAGGCUGCGAUAAGCUUCGGGGAGCUGCCAAAAAGCUUUGAUCCGGAGAUUUCCGAAUGGAGCAAUCCAUCCUUUAUGGAUACUCUAACGUGAAUUCAUAGCGUUAGAGGGGGUACGCGCUGAACUGAAACAUCUAAGUAGGCGCAGGAAGAGAAAAUAACAAUGAUUCCCCCAGUAGCGGCGAGCGAAAAGGGAAGAGCCCAAACCUUUCGAUUCGAUUUUGCUCCGCAAAAUCUCACUCAAGGCUAUAGCCUGUGAGAUUAAAAGGGUCAUUGACCCUGAGCGAGGCGAAGCCGAGUCGAAUGGGGUUGCGAGGCCACAGUAGUGAGUAGUGAGAAUAGGAGAAGACUCUGGAAAGAGUAGCCAAAGAAGGUGAUAGCCCUGUAAACGAAAUUCAAACUACCAUGGUGGGUUCCUCAAGUAGCCCGGGACACGUGUAAUCCCGGGUGAAUCUGCGACGACCACGUCGUAAGGCUAAAUAUGCUUUCGGACCGAUAGUGAACUAGUACCGUGAGGGAAAGGUGAAAAGAAGAGCGGAACGCUCAGUGAAAUAGUACCUGAAACCGUAUGUUGUCAAGCUGUGGAAGUCGCCCUAGGCGACAACCGCGUGCUUAUUGAAGAAUGAACCGGUGAGUUAUUUUGUACUCCAAGUCUAAGUGCCGCAAGGUGCAGAGGCGUAGUGAAAGCGAGCGUGAAAUGCGCGUUAGGAGUGCAAAUUAGACCCGAAACCGAGUGAGCUAACCAUGUCCAGGGUGAACUCGCCUUAACCGGCGAGGAAGGCCCGAACCCGUAUCUGUAGCAAUAGGUUGGGACGAGAUGUGGUUAGGGGUGAUAUGCCUAACGAACUCGGAGAUAGCUGGUUCUCCCCGAAAUAUAUCUAGGUAUAGCCUUAUGUUUUAACUUCAGGGGUAGAGCUCUGGAUGGUCCACCAAGCGCAAGUGAGGCGGAUCAAUCAAACUUCAAAUACUGAAGGCACAACAUGGGAGUCAGUCCUGCUCGGCUAAGCGAGUGGGGCCUAAGGGAAACAUCCCAGACCGAUAGCUAAGGUCCCUAAAUCACACUUAAGUGUUAAAGGUUGUGAGAAUCCUUAUACAGCCAGGAAGUUGGCUUAGAAGCAGCCAUCUUUUAAAGAAAGCGUAACAGCUCGCUGGUCUAUUAUGGGUUCUUGCGCCAACAAUGAAACGGGGCUAAAGUGUGUACCGAAGCUACGGCCCGCCUCUCAAGCGCAAGCGAGAGGGCGGGGGUAGGGGAGCGUCUUAACUGCAGUGAAGUCCUUCCGUGAGGUCAGGAUGGAGCGGUUNNNNNNNNNNNNNNNNNNNNNNNNNNNNNNNNNNNNNNNNNNNNNNNNAUGGGAUUAACUCGGGUCGCCAAUGGCGACUCUAAGCAGUGAGCUAGUGGAUACAGGGAAAUCCGUAUUCAAUCUGCGCAAGUGGGUCAGUAUAUCGUUUAUCGUAGAUCGCUUAUCGGCAAAACCGAUAUUCGAUAGACGAAGAGCCGUAAGGCAUUACGAUAUACCGCAUAAGCGAGCUGCGAAUGCGCAAGCGAGCGAGUUCUGUUUUCAAGAAAAGAUUCGCAAAGGGAGUAAUUUUAGCCGUACCGCAAACCGACACAGGUGGGCGAGUUGAGUAUACAAAGGCGAUCGGGAGAACUAUCCUUAAGGAACUCGGCAAUACAGCUGGACGUAAGUUAGCAAGAUGUCCUGUCGCCGCAAGGCGACUGCAAUAAAUGACGCUGAGUGACUGUUUAUCAAAAACACAGGUCCCUGCUAAAGCGAAAGCUGAUGUAUAGGGGCUGACACCUGCCCAGUGCCAGUAAUUUAAAACUUUUUUUGACCUGAUCAAGUAAUUGGUUGGCGAGGAAAGGGUCUAAGAUCUGGUGAACGGCAGCAGUAACUAUAACUGUUCUAUGGUAGCGAAAUUCCUUGUCUGGUGAGUUCAGACCCGCACGAAAGGUAGAACGACUUAGCGACUGUCUUGAGGAUAGACCCGGCGAAAUUGCAAUGGCUGUGAAGAUGCGGCCUUCCCAUACUUGGACAAAAAGACCCCGUGGAGCUUUACUGUAGCCUGAUUCUGAUUUGAAAAUUUGAUUGUGUAGCGUAGGAGGGAGUCGCCUCGGCGACACCAAUGAAACACCUCUCUUUUAAAUUUUUAAGUCUCUAACGCUAGCCAUAAACUGGCAGCGCAACAAAGUCUGGCGGGCAGUUUAACUGGGGCGGUUUCCUCCAAAAGCGUAACGGAGGAGUACAAAGGUACACUUUGGUCGAAAGGCAACCGACCUUUAAAGCGCAAAAGUAUACAGUGUGCUUGAUAGCGAGACUCACAAGUCGAGCUGGUGCGAAAGCAGGUUUUAGUGAUCCCCCGAUUGUUCGUGGGAACGUCGGGGCUUAUCGGAUAAAAGCUACCCCGGGGAUAUGUGAUAUGUUCUGUCCCGUUAUAUAAUGAAGACGGGACGUAAAUACGGCUAAUAACGGUGGACUCUACUGAUUGGUGGUUUUGGUCUUACCAAACAUCGAGACGAUCUUUAGACAAUACCGUGGGAAGUCGAAGGUAUGACAAAAAUACAAAAAGCGAUUAUUAUCGGAUCGAUUUUAGGAGAUGGUUUUAUACAAAAAACCGGCAGUAAAAAUGCCCGUUUGAGGUUGGAACAUAGCUUAAAACAAAAAGAAUAUUUGAUCUGGAAAUGCCAGAUAUUGGGUAAUUACUUUCAAUCCAAACCACAAAUUUUGGAACGGAAUAAUCCCAUAUUUGGUAAGACUUAUCAAUAUAUUCGGGCUCAAUCUUAUUCAGGACCUGAAUUUGGAAAACUGUAUCGGCUAUUUUACAUAGCUGGUAAAAAAGUUAUACCAGAUAAGAUUUUUGAUUUGAUGAAAGAUCCAGUGAGUUUGACGGUUUGGUUUAUGGAUGAUGGUUACUAUUAUCAAAGAGAUAAAAUGGCCUAUCUCUAUUUGCCAAAAUAUGAUCAUGUCUCAAUUAAUAAUUUGUUGGAUGUAUUAAAAGUCAAUUUUAGUUUAUCUCCCAUUCUUAAAAUUAAGAAAAGGGGAGAAUAUGUACUUAAUUUUUCAGUUGUUGAAACUGAAAAGCUGGUACAAAUUAUUAAACCAUUUGUUAUUUCUUCAAUGAAGUACAAAUUACCUUUUGACCCCGUAUCGACUGAGGCCCAUUAAAGGAGUUACCGAUAUAACUCCCGGGCGAGAUGUGAGGUUUAAUCUUGCAUCAUAUGCCGUACCCCGCCAACAGCUACGCAGUUGCGGGCGGGUGAAGAUAUAGUCAGCGCUAAUAGUGAUAUUAGAAUUUCGUGAACAGGCUAGUGCUCUCCAACAGUCCACAAGGACGAGAGCGUUCGGCACCUCGAUGUCGGCUCAUCCUAACCUGGGGCUGAAGAAGGUCCCAAGGGUCUGGCUGUUCGCCAGUUAAAAGGGUACGCGAGCUGGGUUCAAACCGAUGUAAAUCAGGUUGGACUCUAUCCAGUAUGGGCGUUUGGAUACUUGAGGGGAGUUGUCUCUAGUACGAGAGGACCGAGACGAGGAAACCUCUAGUGUGCCGGUUGUAUGAUAAAUGCAGCGCCGGGUAGCUACGUUUCUAACUGAUAAAUGCUGAAAGCAUCUAAGCAUGAAGCAGACCCCAAGAUUAGGUAUCUUUGAAACCCGUAGCAGACUACUACGUUGAUAGGAGUGCAGUGGAAGUCCGGUAACGGAUUAAGCUUACACUUACUAAUGGUUGAAGUU
rnacentral:rRNA from 1 species